UGAGUAACACGUGGGUAACCUACCUAUAAGACUGGGAUAACUUCGGGAAACCGGAGCUAAUACCGGAUAAUAUUUCGAACCGCAUGGUUCGAUAGUGAAAGGUGGUUUUGCUAUCACUUAUAGAUGGACCCGCGCCGUAUUAGCUAGUUGGUAAGGUAACGGCUUACCAAGGCGACGAUACGUAGCCGACCUGAGAGGGUGAUCGGCCACACUGGAACUGAGACACGGUCCAGACUCCUACGGGAGGCAGCAAGG
rnacentral:rRNA from 1 species